CUAAGACAAAAUUAAAACCCAAAAUUGUUUACUUACAGCUAGACAUCAAUUAAUUAACUAUUCAUUUUGCUUAUAACUUAAGUAGUGGUGUUGUUGUGGUUAAAAAGUCUGCGUUACAAUAAAAUAAAAAAUGAAUAUAGCCUACUUCUUAUAUAGGCUUGUAGUAGUCUACAGUAUGAAAUAAGGAUAUAGGUUAUUGGGAUGUGCAUCUUAUAAAUGAGUCAAUCUUCCGUUACAAUGACUGGACCAGAGUCAAAUUGUGCGUUUAACUGUAACCAAAUCUAACAUCUGAAUAGAUGCUUUCAUAUGAGAAACCUUUUAUACGGUUAGACCAACAGCUGAAAGAUGUCACUAUGCAUCAUUAUAGAAAACUGACGGACCCACACUGUGACAGUCUGGGUGACAAAAAUAAAUACGUAAAUAGGAGAGGAACGAGUAUAUUUUAACGCGCGCCUCUAAAUUGUUAAAAGAGGCAUGACGUUUCCUUGUGCCUUGGGCAGUUGGCCUGGGUACACCCCAGGUGCUUCAAGGCAAAAUUUUCCCGUGGUAUCCACUUGUGAUCUAUGUACCCAGUUGUCUCUACGUCAGCUCUCGCAGUUAUUAAGAGGUAGCCCAAACACAUGGCCAUCUCCACAUAUCCAACUCGUCAUGAGCGCUUGGAGGCUAAAUUCACGGAUAUACUGGCAUCACAGGUUGCCUAUGGGAGUCAAAUUUACUAACCACAAGAAAAGGAAAGCAUUUUUUCUUCUUUUACUCUUCAGGAUGAGGUUCAUUGGCCUUUUCUUCAUUGGCUGGACUUCAGCAUCUAUAUGUGGCUAAGUGCAGAGGGAAAUUAAGAGUAAAAAAAUCAUUAAAAAAAAAAA